rnacentral:rRNA from 1 species
ACGCUGGCGGCAGGCUUAACACAUGCAAGUCGAACGGUAACAGGAGAAAGCUUGCUUUCUUGCUGACGAGUGGCGGACGGGUGAGUAAUGCUUGGGAAUCUGGCUUAUGGAGGGGGAUAACGACGGGAAACUGUCGCUAAUACCGCGUAGAGUCGAGAGACGAAAGUGCGGGACCGCAAGGCCGCAUGCCAUAGGAUGAGCCUAAGUGGGAUUAGGUAGUUGGUGGGGUAAUAGCCUACCAAGCCGACGAUCUCUAGCUGGUCUGAGAGGAUGACCAGCCACACCGGGACUGAGACACGGCCCGGACUCCUACGGGAGGCAGCAGUGGGGAAUAUUGCGCAAUGGGGGCAACCCUGACGCAGCCAUGCCGCGUGAAUGAAGAAGGCCUUCGGGUUGUAAAGUUCUUUCGGUAUUGAGGAAGGUUGUUGUGUUAAUAGCACGACAAAUUGACGUUAAAUACAGAAGAAGCACCGGCUAACUCCGUGCCAGCAGCCGCGGUAAUACGGAGGGUGCGAGCGUUAAUCGGAAUAACUGGGCGUAAAGGGCACGCAGGCGGACUUUUAAGUGAGGUGUGAAAUCCCCGGGCUUAACCUGGGAAUUGCAUUUCAGACUGGGAGUCUAGAGUACUUUAGGGAGGGGUAGAAUUCCACGUGUAGCGGUGAAAUGCGUAGAGAUGUGGAGGAAUACCGAAGGCGAAGGCAGCCCCUUGGGAAUGUACUGACGCUCAUGUGCGAAAGCGUGGGGAGCAAACAGGAUUAGAUACCCUGGUAGUCCACGCUGUAAACGCUGUCGAUUUGGGGAUUGGGCUUUAAGCUUGGUGCCCGAAGCUAACGUGAUAAAUCGACCGCCUGGGGAGUACGGCCGCAAGGUUAAAACUCAAAUGAAUUGACGGGGGCCCGCACAAGCGGUGGAGCAU